rnacentral:rRNA from 1 species
AGACCGGGAUAAGCUUUCGAAAGGAAGUCUAAUACCGGAUAAUAAAAUCAGAUCGCAUGAUUUGAUUUUCAAAGGUAGCUUUUUAAGCCUCUGCUUUUGGAUGAGCUCAUGUCCUAUCAGCUAGUUGGUGAGGUAAAGGCUCACCAAAGCUAAGACGGGUAGCCGGUCUGAGAGGACGGUCGGCCACACUGGGACUGAGACACGGCCCAGACUCCUACGGGAGGCAGCAGUAGGGAAUCUUGCGCAAUGGGCGAAAGCCUGACGCAGCGACACCGCGUGGAGGAUGAAGGUUUUCGAAUCGUAAACUCCUGUCAAUAGAGAAAGAAGGUAUUAUAGGUGAAUAGCUUAUAAUAUUGACGGUACUCUGUAAGGAAGCCCCGGCUAACUACGUGCCAGCAGCCGCGGUAAUACGUAGGGGGCAAGCGUUUUCCGGAUUCAUUGGGCGUAAAGCGCACGCAGGUGGCUUUUCAAGUCGAAUGUGAAAUCUCUUAGAAAAACUAAGAAAUUGCAUCCGAAACUGGAUUGCUUGAGGUCGGGAGAGGAGAGUGGAAUUCUCGGUGUAGCGGUGGAAUGCGCAGAUAUCGAGAAGAACACCAUUAGCGAAGGCGGCUCUCUGGAACGAUACUGACACUAAGGUGCGAAAGCUAGGGUAGCAAACAGGAUUAGAUACCCUGGUAGUCCUAGCUGUAAACGAUGGGCACUGGAUGUAGGGAGAUAUCGACUCUUCCUGUGUCGUAGCUAACGCGUUAAGUGCCCCGCCUGGGGAGUACGACCGCAAGGUUAAAACUCAAAUGAAUUGACGGGGGCCCGCACAAGCGGUGGAGCAUGU